rnacentral:tRNA from 1 species
GACAAAGUGACCCAGUGCUUAAGGUAAUGGACUGCUAAUCCAUUAUGCUCUGAAUGUAUAGGUUCAACCCAUCCUCAUCG